rnacentral:tRNA from 1 species
GUCCUCGUAGUUUAAUGGAUAGAAUAUCUCCCUCCGAAGGAGGUGAUGCGCGUUCGAUUCGCGCCGAGGGCA